rnacentral:rRNA from 1 species
AGCUUCAGUAGCGUAUAUUAAAGUUGUUGCAGUUAAAAAGCUCGUAGUCGCAUUUCUGGCGAGAGGAUCCGGUCCGACCUUUUGGUGGGUUCUUGGGUCUCUUUCGCCAUCCUUGAGUGGUCCGUUCUGGCAUUAGGUUGUCGGAGCGUCAGCCGCUCAUCGUUUACUGUGAGAAAAUUAGAGUGUUCAAAGCAGGCUUAUGCCGUUGAAUAUAUUAGCAUGGAAUAAUAAGAUAGGACCUCGGUACUAUUUUGUUGGUUUGCGCACCAAGGUAAUGAUGAACAGGGACAGUUGGGGGUAUUUGUAUUUCGUUGUCAGAGGUGAAAUUCGUAGAUUUACGAAAGACAAACUACUGCGAAAGCAUUUACCAAGGAUGUUUGCA